GGGGAUUUAGCUCAGUGGUAGAGCGCUUGCCUAGGGACCGCAAGGUCCUGGGUUCGGUCCCCAGCUCCG
rnacentral:tRNA from 1 species